AAUUAGCACAGCUGCCCCCACGCUCCGCAGACAUCAGAAUCCCCAGGAGGCCUUGUCAAACUACAGACCGCCGGCCUGAGCCCACCCAGACUUUCUGAUUCACCAGGUCUCAAAGCAGCCGACCAGAGUGCUCCAGGGUGUUCAACACGUUAAGGGAAACAAAUGGCAGGAGCUUGGAAUGAAAGCCCAGCUCGGAAGUUUCUGGGGUCUGGCACCGGGAACAGAGCACGCAUAUGUGUGUGUACACAGAGCGUCCCAGAGAGACGUUUUCUUGUCAAAAAUGUAUGAAUUGAGCCCAGCUGGGCUCCGGGA